GAUGAACGCUGGCGGCGUGCCUAAUACAUGCAAGUCGAGCGAACAGACGAGGAGCUUGCUCCUCUGACGUUAGCGGCGGACGGGUGAGUAACACGUGGAUAACCUACCUAUAAGACUGGGAUAACUUCGGGAAACCGGAGCUAAUACCGGAUAAUAUAUUGAACCGCAUGGUUCAAUAGUGAAAGACGGUUUUGCUGUCACUUAUAGAUGGAUCCGCGCCGCAUUAGCUAGUUGGUAAGGUAACGGCUUACCAAGGCGACGAUGCGUAGCCAACCUGAGAGGGUGAUCGGCCACACUGGAACUGAGACACGGUCCAGACUCCUACGGGAGGCAGCAGUAGGGAAUCUUCCGCAAUGGGCGAAAGCUUGACGGAGCAACGCCGCGUGAGUGAUGAAGGUCUUCGGAUCGUAAAACUCUGUUAUUAGGGAAGAACAAAUGUGUAAGUAACUAUGCACGUCUUGACGGUACCUAAUCAGAAAGCCACGGCUAACUACGUG
rnacentral:rRNA from 1 species